GUAAAAGAAAAAAAACACCCAAAACAAACCAAAAAGUCCCCAGCCAAACAAACUUCCACACGUCACAAAAAGAAGACAAUGGCUUUGGCUACGGAUAAAUUGCUGGAUUUAAGGAAAAAACUUGCUCCAUAACGUCUCUUGUCAGGGAUUCAUAAGUGCAGCUGCCUCAGAAUGGAUAUCUUCCUCCACUGAAGAGGGGAAGAUUUCCUUUCAAAUCUGCUACAAAGCUGGAAGUGUUGAUUAAUGAAUCUGCUCAUGCUGAACUGUAAUUCCAUCCUGCAGUAAAAGUUUUAUAUGCGUUAGCCCAGGUGAGAAUUCAUUUGUCCAUAUCCAAAACAGACAUUUUUUUCUUCUCUCUCUCGAGGGGUUUUGGGUGUCAAAAUGCAUGUAUGCCACUGUUUGUUUUUUUAAGACAGCUGAUCCAUUUAUGUAAGAAGGAGCAUGGUCUAGUUGCUAGAACCCAAAAUUCAUGUUUCCCCAUCCUUUUCUCAGAUCUGUCACUGACUGCUUGGGCAGGUCACAAACCUGGAGCCUCUGUUUCAAUUAAAAUAGGCUAAACCUCCCCUGCUCUGGGGAGGUUGAAGCUUUGGUUGCUUUAACGUCAGAUGAACUGAAAAGCAGUAUAGAAAUGCGAAGUCAUCUUGUGGGAUCUAGAGCAUUGAGAGGCUGAGUGUUUUCUGCAUGGGCAGCUCGUGCUGCAGCUCUAAAGGUGGUGGUUCUGCCAUCUUGGGUUUCCCUAAACAUGUUCCUAAAUCCGACAGUCUCAGGUGGGAGAGAGAGCUGAGUGGGCUUCCUGUCUGCUGUGGUACUUUGGGAGGAAUAGUAGGGGACUCUGGAAAUUGGAAAAGCAGCAGGAUUGUGGUAACCAUAUGGCAUGCCAAGGGAAAGUUUAUAGCCUGGGGAAUUGAACAUUACUAGCGAGAGUGCUCAGAAUUGUCCAGUUUCAGUGCUCUUACAUGAAUUUAAAUUGGUGAAGGCACACAAUGCUGUUUAAUGCUAGCUUUGAACUAUAAUUCUGCUGAGUGUCUCAUCCUUUUCACGAGUAAAAAAGUAAUGUUAUUUUAGGUGUAAGUAUCUUUAUCUGCUUCCACAUACAAACGUGGUGACACUGGAUACUUGACUGCUCUUAAGCACCAUUGUUAACAUCCUGUGGUGAUUCCUUAAACUGUCAAUGCUCCUUCACUUAGUCAAGGAAAGGAGAACUUAGGAUAUCCCCAUCCAAUGUCUCAAUCCCCCCAGUUUUUGGUUCUUCAAACAUUUCAUUCUCUGUAAGCUGCAAGUAAGGGACUGUAGAAACUGUGCUGGAGGCUUUAUUUAGCCUAAUAAAAUUGAACAAAGGGCAGAAUAUAACCAUUUCCUUUGCAAUUGUUAAGAUUACAGUUUGGGACAGUGAAGGGGUUUCCUGCAACAUUUUUUCCAUCGCUGAUACUCUAGGGAUCUUCCUUUUCGCUGAAUCAGAGUUUAAAAUCACACAUUUUUAAAUGUUUCUCUUCAUGGGCCCACUUUAAAAAAAUCAGAAGGAAAGGAAGCUGGAGAGAAAAAUGAAGGUAAUUGAAAAUCAGACUUCAAGGACAAAAGCCUUGCAUGGCCUCUUGGAAGGAAAGGAAGAUGACAAGCCCAUGUUAUUUUUUUAGUUUUUUAUAAACUAUAGUUUUGUAUUUUGUUAUUCAUUCUUGUGCUCUUUAAAAAUUGGUUGACUCUUUUCUGUUGUAGUGCACUGUCUUCUUCUGUACACCCCAGCAAAGGAAACAAUGGCAGCGAAACCAGUGACCAAGUGAUGGGUCAAAUGAAAGAUUACUAAAGGUGCAGACUGAACUGCUUUGGCCAUCAAUUGGGAACUUUUGUUUACCACCCAUGGCAAUGAUGUCGUUGGACAACUUAGCGAAUCUAUGCUGGAACGCUGUGCACUGCCGCGCACCUGUCCUGCCUCCACCGCCAAUGUUGUUGACUUUCCAUCUAUUGUAAAGCUUGCCAAGAGAAGAAACUGGAGAGGUCUAUUGUGUUGCUUUCUAAAGAGCCAUUUGGACAGAUGGAGCCUAACCCAGGAGAUCUCUUUACUUUGCCAGACCUUAACUGCUGGGAAUGCCUGUUCCUUUCCUCGAAAUUGCUGCCUACCUGAGGAGAGAGAAUGGGGAGGUAGAUAACACAAUGCACUUCGAGACACUAAAUGCUUCCCAUUGUUACAUGUUUGUAUCAAGAGAAGGUUGAGCUUUCCUAAGCAACAAGUGGAAGAUGCAACUGAAACCCUAGCCUGUCCUCCUGGUUGCUACAUUUUGCAUACUCUCUUGCUAGACACAGGCUGAAAUGGCUCACACCUGUCGCGGAACCAUCAACCUGUCAACAGCGCACAUCGAUACGGAGGACUCCUGUAACAUCGUACUCUCCAGUGGGGGAAGGACAUACCAUCUAAAGGCAAGCUGCGAAGUGGAGAGGCAACGAUGGGUCACUGCUUUGGAGCUGGCCAAAGCAAAAGCUAUCCGUAUGAGGAACAGCCAGUCAGGGCCUCUGAAAGUACAGUGCUACUCUGAAAAUUGGCUCAGUAAAGAUGGUAUCAUGGAGCUUCAUGUGAUCUGUCAGUGAUUCCAUUUCACAAGAACUCACUGGACCUGAUUCUGAUCUAGGCUACACUAAGGUAAAUCAAUAGUAACUUCACUUGAGUUUCAUUGGAGUAAAACAGGUGUGAGGUCCAGAAUCCGGCCCAGUUUGUUUUUCUAGCUGCCAGCCCUGCACACUCAACAUCAUGUUAGUGAGUCGAGCUAGGUUCUCCCUGGAUUACACAUCACCAUCAGUAAUUAAGAUUAGUUAGUUAGGUUAGUUAGACCAGUCCAAACCAUUGCCUUCAAAAUCUUCCUUAUUUCUUUUUGUGGGGUUACACAGCUGUAGCUGAAGGGAUAACCUGGCCCUGUUUAUGAUUUGUUUGAGCCAGAAUUGAAUCCAGCUCCUUCUCCCACAGCUGUGUGGAACCUGCAUAAUGUUAACAGGAGUAAAAUGUACCAAAAUGGUAUUUUGUCUCUAGUCAGCUGAGCCUAGGCCGCUGCCCACAGGGAGCAGGUUGUGCCGUUUGCGUGUGUCAUUUUUACAUGGUCACGUUGGAUUAUAGAAGUUACCAUAGCUUGCAAGCCAAAAGAAAUCUUGUUGGAAUUUUCUCUAGUCUGCCACAAAAACUGUGGAGUAGUAACAUUCUGGAAAUAAUUAAAAUACAUUAAUGAAAGAUGGCCUACAGAGGAACAAAAUGGGCUUGUGCCCUUUUAUGAUGCUCUGUGAUGGAUAAAGGCUUGUUGAGUUUUUUUAAAAUUAAAGUGGUUUUCCCCCCUGAUUAUUUUUGCCAUUAGAAUUUCAGGUCUUGCCUCGCUUGAAGGUCUUUGAUGGGAGAGCUAGUGAAAUGAUGACACUGAUCACAAGAUGAUCAAUCACGAAUGGUCUCCAGAGCCAACAGAGUGAAAUUGGAGCAAUUCAGAGGGGAAGGGAUUUUUUACUCAGGCCUGUUCUACACAUAGUAUUUGUACCAAUAACUGUGUCAGUUUGCGGGUGAUUUUUUUACCCAUAUCCUUAUACCAGUACAGCUCCUAGUGUUGAUGCAGUUAUACGAGUAUAAAGAUGGCUUAUUCUGGGAUAUCUUAUUCCCAUACAGAAAUAAACUAUUCUGCUAUAAGCAUGUGUAGACAGAUAUAACUGCAUCCACGUAAGUGGAUGGGGGUGUGUGUCUACCACUCUAACUACAAACUGAUGCGUAGACCAGGCUAUCGGAAUCCUUCUCACACUGUCAAACAUCGCUCAGGGCAUGGAUAAGGUCCUGCUCUCCUGGGCCACUCUUUGCAUGUCCUUUCUGUUGUUAAGUCCCAUAAUUCCAUCUGAGUAACAUUUGAUGGAGGGAUUCUUUCGGUCGGCCCUUUUUGCAUGUUCCUCCAGCUGCCCCAUACCUACUACGGCAGAUGCUCCGACUUCGUUCCUAACAUAAGUCCCUGAUGUCUCCAUCUUCCUUUCUGGAUAAAUUUGGAGGUUGGGAGUUGUUGAUUCAGGGCCACAGAUGAAUAAACGUGACCCACCUUUCAGGCCUUCCUUAUGCUCAUAAAGAAACAAACUAGGACCCAAAUCAAUGUUUUAUAGUCAUUUUAAAGCAAUAACAAUACACUCUGGAGUUUGAUGUCUGUUGUACUGUCAUUACUUAGAAAGCACCUAGACCUGCAAUGAUCCCAUUCCAGAGCAGGUCUGCCAAGAAGCAGAUAGAAUUGCCAUGUUCGCCCGGGCUGCAGGUUUGUGCUCUGUCAUGAUGUGUUUAUUUUAUUGAUUUCUACAGCACCUGGCACCUCGCAGCACAUUGACAAAGUUAAAGCACGUUAAUUAUGUAAAAAUGUGAGAGGAAAAAUGCAAAUGAAAGAGAGAGCACAGAAAUGUGCUUCGCAUUGUGCCCUGAAAGCUAAUGCUCCCGUGUGUAUUAAAAGAUGCUAACUAUCGUGGUUUUCUCCAGGCGGCUUAGUCUCAGUGAUGCUUCAUUAUCCCUUGAUCAAAAGACAGUUGCUGAUAGGGAUGGAGGAAACACAGACAUGCCAGGUUUGGCAGUGAAGCCAUGCUGUGGAACUGCAGCAGGAAUAUUGUUAAUGAAUCCCUGGGGAAUCCACACAAGGUCUCCAGUCAUUGCUACGCCGUAUCUGCUCCAGAACUGCCACGUUCCGGCUGGAGGGGGGGGGACUUAAAAGGACUGAAGGGAGAUUUUAACUCCCUUUUUGUUUUCUCUGCACUGUUUUGGUUUCCUGCAUUGCUAUAAUUUGCUUCCAUCUCCCCCACAUUCCAUCCCCACCUCCACUGUUCUCUAGAAGCGACACUAUUUAAGGCUCAAAUGGUACUUAAACGGUGCAUAAUAAACCUUGCGUUGGUUUACUGCAUAGGGGUAAAUAUCACCCUAAGUCCAGCUUUAAUUAGAUAGACUAUUUUUCUUCCUUCUCAUCUUACGAGGCUAUGUAGUGUUGCUGUGCAGUGUCAGAUGGCAACCAUGUUCCACCCAAGAGCUGGCUGUAUUUCAGUGGUACAUUGUUGCCCCACAUACUGUAUCAAGCCAAAUUCUGGAUUCCUGUGAAAAUGCUCCUCAGAUGAGUGCACCCAUAUGCUUAAAUGUACCAUAAGCAGCACCUGUUUUCUUCCUGGCCAAAACCAUCUGUCACAUGGCAGCCCCACCUGGAGUGCCCUCCUGUGGCAGUCCCUGGCACAACAGGCAAGUUUGCCUCAGUUUCCCUCCGUAAAGUCUUCCCAAGUACAAUAUAGCCCUUGUGGGGUUCAUUUAUUGUAAAAGAUCCAUGCACAUAAACUAUAAGAGAACAAGUCCCAACACCAAGUCCAACAACCAUAGUCCAGACUGUACGUUAAGUAGAUUGCUGGCUUCCCUCACUGCGCCUCAGCCUCCCUCAUUGCGCCCUGGCUCUUUGGUGAGGCCCCAGCCUCCCUCACCGCGCACCAGGUCUCCAGCGCAGCCCCAGCCUCCCUCACCGUGCCGCAGCUCUCCAGCGCAGCCCUAGCCUCCCUCACUGCAGCCUCUCUCAUCUCAUUCCCCUCUGCUGCUCUCAGCCGUCAACCCUCUCAGCCUGUCCCCUCUCUGGCUCAGGAGGGACAGCUGACUAGCACUUCCACAGGCUUCCUGGCCCUCAGCCAAAUAGUUCCCAAACGGUGGGGCAUGCCCCCUGAGGGGGCCAUGGCAGAACAUUUGAGGGGCACAUGGUGGCACCUGGGCCAGUCGCUACAGAGGGCAGGGAGAUAGCGCCAUGCUGCCAGCCCUGCCACGCCCCCAAACCAGCUCUGUCCCCAACUCCGUUCAGCUCCCAGUCCUGCUCCGCCCCCAGUCCCAGUCCGCCCCCAGCCCAGCUCCGCCCUCAUUUCCUCUCUGUCCCCAGCCAAGCUCCUCCUCCAUCCCCAGCUCUGCCUUCAGCCCGAGCUCCGUGGCUGAGGAAACCCUGGCUGUGCAGCAGUGGAGGGAGAUGCGGACAGAUUCUGUUAAUUGUAAGGGGGCCGUGACUGGAAAAGUUUGCGCACUGCUGCCUCGGCCCUUUGGCAUUGGCUCAGGAAGGUCAGCCAGCGAGUCUCUCCACUGGCUGCCGGAUAAUGACUCCUGCUUUCCUGGAAAGGCCUGCAAAGAGCCUUCUGCUUUCAGCAGCUUUCCCCAGCGACCUGCCCCAGUCUCCUGAUUUUUCCUGACUGCCUUUCUCCAGGUCUCACCCCACUCAGAUUCUGCCUGAUCCUUUACAGUCUCAUGUGCUGUCCCACCCUCUUAAUUGGCCAAAGGGGAGCACCCUGUGACACCAUCACAUGCACAGUACAGCCCCAAUCCCGCACAGGUGAGUCCUGCUAGGGGCAUGACCGAUCCAUGGAGGAGUGAGGGAGUGGGGCAUGGAUGCCAUUGCUCUGUUGAGGGCAUGUGCAAAACCUACA